rnacentral:rRNA from 1 species
AACGAACGCUGGCGGCAUGCCUAACACAUGCAAGUCGAACGACAGCGCCGGGUUUGGUGUCGCACGGGGUCGCAAACCGGUGGGACCUGCCUUUGGGCUCGGCCAAACUUCCCGAAUAGGGUGCUAAUACCGGAUAUUAUCUCCGGUACAACGUUUUAUCGCCUUUGGAUGGGCGCACGUUGUCUUAGCUAGGUGGUAGGGUAAAAGCCUACCGAGGCGACGUUCCAUAGCUGGUAUGAGAGGAUGGUCUGCAACACUGGGACUGAGACACGGCCCAGAAUCUUACGGGAGGCAGCAGUGGGGAAUAUUGGACAAUGGGCGAGAGACUGAGCCAGCCAUGCCGCGUGAGUGAUGAAGGCCUGAGGGUUGUAAAGCGCUUUUAACCGGGAGGAUAAGGACAGUACCGGAAGAAUAAGCCCCGGCUAACUCCGUG